rnacentral:rRNA from 1 species
CCUACUGGUGGCAGCAGUGAGGAAUAUUGGUCAAUGGGCGCGAGCCUGAACCAGCCAAGUAGCGUGAAGGAUGACUGCCCUACGGGUUGUAAACUUCUUUUAUACAGGAAUAAAGUGAGGCACGUGUGCCUUUUUGUCUGUACUUUAUGAAUACGGAUCGGCUAACUCCGUGCCCGCAGCCGCGGUAAUACGGAGGAUCCGAGCGUUAUCCGGAGUUAUUGGGUGUAAAGGUAGCGUAGAUGGGUUGUUAAGUCAGGUGUGAAAGUUUGCGACUCAACCGUAAAAUUGCAAUUGAUACUGGCAGUCUUGAGUACAGUUGAGGUAGGCGGAAUUCGUGGUGUAGCGGUGAAAUGCUUAGAUAGCACGAAGAACUCCGAUUGCGAAGGCAGCUUACUAAACUGCCACUGACAUUGAUGCUCGAAAGUGGGUGUAUCAAACAGGAUUAGAUACCCGGGUAGUC